AUCUUUACUGAUCGGUACACAGAAGCUUCCAGAGUCUGAACGAAACCAUAUUGAAAAAACAAUAAAAAACCGAAAUGUCACGAGUUAUUUUAGUAUUAUCAAUAAUUGUACUCAUUAGCUGCAUUUAUGCUGCUGCAGGCCAAGGAUGUGAUGGCCAUUGGUGUUCUAAUACCUCUCCGUGUGGUUGUGAUUAUUACGAAUGUCAAGGAUGGCCUCAAGGUACCUGUGUUUCAUCACCAUACAAAGACGCCGAGUCUAAGGUCAUUCGUUACAAGUAAAUAAAGUUUUACGAAUUUCUUGUGAGAAUUUACGACUAAUUGGAUACAGUGGAUUUUCGUUACAACAAAAUGGCGCCUUAUGGAUUUAGUAAUAUUGAUUUUAUUUAAUACUAAUGAACAAAUAUAAUAGCAACAAUUUCUUGUAGUAAUUAUUUAUGAACCUGAAAAAAGAAAAAGAAAAUUUUUUUAUCUCCUUAAAAAUG